rfam:Verticillium dahliae VdLs.17 supercont1.2 genomic scaffold, whole genome shotgun sequence.
GCCUCGUUGGCUUAGUGGUAAAGCGCAUCACUAGUAAUGAUGAGAUCACUGGUUCGAUUCCAGUACGAGGCA